GACGAACGCUGGCGGCGUGCUUAACACAUGCAAGUCGAACGAAGAGCGAUGGAAGCUUGCUUCUAUCAAUCUUAGUGGCGAACGGGUGAGUAACGCGUAAUCAACCUGCCCUUCAGAGGGGGACAACAGUUGGAAACGACUGCUAAUACCGCAUACGAUCUAAUCUCGGCAUCGAGGAUAGAUGAAAGGUGGCCUCUACAUGUAAGCUAUCACUGAAGGAGGGGAUUGCGUCUGAUUAGCUAGUUGGAGGGGUAACGGCCCACCAAGGCGAUGAUCAGUAGCCGGUCUGAGAGGAUGAACGGCCACAUUGGGACUGAGACACGGCCCAGACUCCUACGGGAGGCAGCAGUGGGGAAUCUUCCGCAAUGGACGAAAGUCUGACGGAGCAACGCCGCGUGAGUGAUGACGGCCUUCGGGUUGUAAAGCUCUGUUAAUCGGGACGAAAAGGGCCUUUCUUUGCGAAAUAGUGAGAAAGGAAUUGACCGGUACCCG
rnacentral:rRNA from 1 species